GAGCUGGGACAGGCAGGAGGGGCUGGGGGGCUGGGCUUGAGGUGGAGGAAUAAGGAGCCAUGAGUCAGGUUAGGGGUGGGUCAGGGGAUGGAGGUGAGUCUGGGGGGGCUGAGAAGGGGGAUCAGGUGGAGGUGAGGGUGUGGGGAAUGGGGUGUGGGUCAGGGGCUGGGGGGCUGAGAAGGGGGAUCAGGUGGAGGUGAGGGUGUGGGGAAUGGGGUGUGGGUCAGGGGCUGGGGGCUGAGAAGGGGGAUCAGGUCGAGGUGAGGGUGUGGGGAAUGGGGUGUGGGUCAGGGGCUGGGGGCUGAGAAGGGGGAUCAGGUCGAGGUGAGGGUGUGGGGAAUGGGGUGUGGGUCAGGGGCUGGGGGCUGAGAAGGGGGAUCAGGUCGAGGUGAGGGAGUGGGGAAUGGGGUGUGGGUCAGGGGCUGGAGGGUGAGAAGGGGGAUCAGGUCGAGGUGAGGGUGUGGGGAAUGGGGUGUGGGUCAGGGGCUGGAGGGUGAGAAGGGGGAUCAGGUCGAGGUGAGGGUGUGGGGAAUGGGGUGUGGGUCAGGGGCUGGAGGGUGAGAAGGGGGAUCAGGUCGAGGUGAGGGUGUGGGGAAUGGGGUGUGGGUCAGGGGCUGGGGGGCUGAGAAGGGGGAUCAGGUCGAGGUGAGGGUGUGGGGAAUGGGGUGUGGGUCAGGGGCUGGGGGCUGAGAAGGGGGAUCAGGUCGAGGUGAGGGUGUGGGGAAUGGGGUGUGGGUCAGGGGCUGGGGGCUGAGAAGGGGGAUCAGGUCGAGGUGAGGGUGUGGGGAAUGGGGUGUGGGUCAGGGGCUGGGGGGCUGAGAAGGGGGAUCAGGUCGAGGUGAGGGUGUGGGGAAUGGGGUGUGGGUCAGGGGCUGGGGGGCUGAGAAGGGGGAUCAGGUCGAGGUGAGGGUGUGGGGAAUGGGGUGUGGGUCAGGGGCUGGGGGGCUGAGAAGGGGGAUCAGGUCGAGGUGAGGGUGUGGGGAAUGGGGUGUGGGUCAGGGGCUGGGGGGCUGAGAAGGGGGAUCAGGUGGAGGUGAGGGUGUGGGGAAUGGGGUGUGGGUCAGGGGCUGGGGGCUGAGAAGGGGGAUCAGGUCGAGGUGAGGGUGUGGGGAAUGGGGUGUGGGUCAGGGGCUGGGGGCUGAGAAGGGGGAUCAGGUCGAGGUGAGGGUGUGGGGAAUGGGGUGUGGGUCAGGGGCUGGGGGCUGAGAAGGGGGAUCAGGUCGAGGUGAGGGAGUGGGGAAUGGGGUGUGGGUCAGGGGCUGGAGGGUGAGAAGGGGGAUCAGGUGGAGGUGAGGGUGUGGGGAAUGGGGUGUGGGUCAGGGGCUGGGGGCUGAGAAGGGGGAUCAGGUCGAGGUGAGGGUGUGGGGAAUGGGGUGUGGGUCAGGGGCUGGGGGCUGAGAAGGGGGAUCAGGUCGAGGUGAGGGUGUGGGGAAUGGGGUGUGGGUCAGGGGCUGGGGGGCUGAGAAGGGGGAUCAGGUCGAGGUGAGGGUGUGGGGAAUGGGGUGUGGGUCAGGGGCUGGAGGGUGAGAAGGGGGAUCAGGUGGAGGUGAGGGUGUGGGGAAUGGGGUGUGGGUCGGGGCUGGGGGGCUGAGAGAAGGGGGAUCAGGUCGAGGUGAGGGUGUGGGGAAUGGGGUGUGGGUCAGGGGCUGGGGGGCUGAGAAGGGGGAUCAGGUCGAGGUGAGGGUGUGGGGAAUGGGGUGUGGGUCAGGGGCUGGGGGGCUGAGAAGGGGGAUCAGGUCGAGGUGAGGGUGUGGGGAAUGGGGUGUGGGUCAGGGGCUGGGGGCUGAGAAGGGGGAUCAGGUCGAGGUGAGGGUGUGGGGAAUGGGGUGUGGGUCAGGGGCUGGGGGCUGAGAAGGGGGAUCAGGUCGAGGUGAGGGAGUGGGGAAUGGGGUGUGGGUCAGGGGCUGGAGGGUGAGAAGGGGGAUCAGGUCGAGGUGAGGGUGUGGGGAAUGGGGUGUGGGUCAGGGGCUGGAGGGUGAGAAGGGGGAUCAGGUCGAGGUGAGGGUGUGGGGAAUGGGGUGUGGGUCAGGGGCUGGGGGCUGAGAAGGGGGAUCAGGUGGAGGUGAGGGUGUGGGGAAUGGGGUGUGGGUCAGGGGCUGGGGGCUGAGAAGGGGGAUCAGGUCGAGGUGAGGGUGUGGGGAAUGGGGUGUGGGUCAGGGGCUGGAGGGUGAGAAGGGGGAUCAGGUGGAGGUGAGGGUGUGGGGAAUGGGGUGUGGGUCAGGGGCUGGGGGGCUGA